CCUACGGGGGGCAGCAGUGAGGAAUAUUGGUCAAUGGUCGGGAGACUGAACCAGCCAAGCCGCGUGAGGGAUGAAGGUACAGAGUAUCGUAAACCUCUUUUGUCAGGGAACAAAGGCGGGGACGCGUCCCCGGAUGAGUGUACCUGAAGAAAAAGCAUCGGCUAACUCCGUGCCAGCAGCGGCGGUAAUACGGAGGAUGCGAUCGUUAUCCGGAUUUAUUGGGUUUAAGGGGUGCGCAGGCGGUCUGUUAAGUCAGCGGGCAAAGCCCGGGGCUCAACCCCGGCCCGCCGUUGAAACUGGCAGUCUCGAGUUGGAGAGAAGUAUGCGGAAUGCGCGGUGUAGCGGUGAAAUGCAUAGAUAUCGCGCAGAACUCCGAUUGCGAAGGCAGCAUGCCGGCUCCACACUGAUGCUGAGGCACGAAAGCGUGGGUAUCGAACAGGAUUAGAUACCCCUGUAGUC
rnacentral:rRNA from 1 species